rnacentral:rRNA from 1 species
GACGAACGCUGGCGGCGUGCUUAACACAUGCAAGUCGAGCGGAAAGGCCCUUUCGGGGGUACUCGAGCGGCGAACGGGUGAGUAACACGUGAGUAAUCUGCCCUUGGCUUUGGGAUAAGCCCCGGAAACGGGGUCUAAUACCGGAUACGACGCGCUCCUGCAUGGGAUGUGCGUGGAAAGUUUUUUCGGCCAGGGACGUGCCCGCGGCCUAUCAGCUUGUUGGUGGGGUAAUGGCCUACCAAGGCUUCGACGGGUAGCCGGCCUGAGAGGGUGACCGGCCACACUGGGACUGAGACACGGCCCAGACUCCUACGGGAGGCAGCAGUGGGGAAUAUUGGACAAUGGGCGGAAGCCUGAUCCAGCAACGCCGCGUGAGGGAUGACGGCCUUCGGGUUGUAAACCUCUUUCAGUACCGACGAAGCGCCGAUGAUGGUGGUGACGGUAGGUACAGAAGAAGCACCGGCCAACUACGUGCCAGCAGCCGCGGUAAGAC